GAUGAACGCUGGCGGCGUGCCUAAUACAUGCAAGUCGAGCGAAGCGGGGACGGGUGAGUAACACGUGGAUAACCUCCUAUAAGACUGGGAUAACUUCGGGAGACCUGAUCUAAACCGGAUCCUUAUAGAUGUUUCUUCGCUGCAUUAGCUAGUUGGUAAGGUAACGGCGUACCAAGGCAACGAUGCAUAGCCGACCUGAGAGGGUGAUCGGCCACACUGGAACUGAGACACGGUCCAGACUCCUACGGGAGGCAGCAGUAGGGAAUAUUCCGCAAUGGGCGAAAGCCUGACGGAGCAACGCCGCGUGAGUGAUGAAGGUCUUCGGAUCGUAAAACUCUGUUAUUAGGGAAGCGGUACCUACUCAGAAAGCCACGGCUAACUACGUGCCAGCAGCCGCGGUAAUUC
rnacentral:rRNA from 1 species